ACAUUUCCUUCCUGGAGCCGUACAGCAACUCUGUGCCGGAUUAGCAGUCCUCCUCACAGCCCUAAUUGAAUCCUCAGGAGCCAGGAAAACAGAUAAGUGUGUUUCUUAAUAUCAUUUGUAAACCAGAUGCAGCUCCAGCCUCUUGCCCCCUGGAGAGGCAGGUAUAUACACUUCUCAGCUACUCGCUAACUUUGACCUCCAGCACCACCUCGAGUCUUCACUGUCUGUUUUAGUGUUUUCUUCCUCCGGGUACUGGGGAUGAGCCCAGGGGUUUCUACCACUGGGCUACAUGCUAUCCCCUUUUAUUUUUUAUUUCAAGACAAGAGUCUCACUAAGUUGUCCAGGCUGUCCUCAAACUUGAGAGUUCCUGCUCAGUCUCCCCAGCAGCUGUGAUUACAGGUGUUUAGAGCUCAACCAUCACUGUCUUAUACCCAAACCUCCAGAGCUCAGGACUUGUCAUUAACUGCUAAAGGAAUCUAUACCAAGCAUAUUGUGGACUCUGUUAAAAAUCAAGAAGUCAACUAAUAGGGCUUCUCCCCUCCUGAUGGUUUUCCUCCUCCCUCCCCUUGCUUCCUAUUCCUUCUGCCAGACCAUCUCCUGACUCCAAACUCUUCUUCCUACCAUGCAGGGAAAUCCAGCUCUCCCAGCUCCUGCAUAAGGAUGAGACAUACCAG
rnacentral:lncRNA from 1 species